CUAACAUUUAAAAGCUGUUGGGCUCAUAACCCAAAAAUGAUAAAAAAAUCCCAU
rnacentral:tRNA from 1 species